AUUGAACGCUGGCGGCAGGCCUAACACAUGCAAGUCGAGCGGAGCGGCGGACGGGUGAGUAAUGCCUAGGAAUCUGCCUGGUAGUGGGGGAUCACGUCCGGAAACGGGAGCUAAUACCGCAUACUAUCUGUUGAGCCUCGUUCGGAUGAGCUAGUUGGUGGGUUAAAGGCCUACCAAGGCGACGAUCCGUAACUGGGCUGAGAGGAUGAUCAGUCAAACUGGAACUGAGAAACGGUCCAGACUCCUACGGGAGGCAGCAGUGGGGAAUAUUGGACAAUGGGCGAAAGCCUGAUCCAGCCAUGCCGCGGGUGUGAAGAAGGUCUUCGGAUGGUAAAGCACUUUAAGUUGGGAGGCGUUACCAACAGAAUAAGCACCGGCUAACUUCGUGCCAGCAGCCGCGGUAAUUC
rnacentral:rRNA from 1 species